UACGUAGGUGGCAAGCGUUGUCCGGAUUUACUGGGCGUAAAGAGCGCGCAGGCGGUCGAUCAAGUCGCGUGUGAAAGCCCCGGGCUCAACCUGGGAACCGCGCUUGAGACUGGCACGCUCGAGUUCGGGAGAGGAUGGUGGAAUUCCCAGUGUAGAGGUGAAAUUCGUAGAUAUCGUAAGGAAGACCAGUGGCGAAGGCGAGUCUCUGGACAGUUACUGACGCUGAGGCACGAAGGCCAGGGGAGCAAACGGG
rnacentral:rRNA from 1 species